UUCAGUUAAAUAGAUAUGUAUUAGGCAGCACGCAAAAGUUAAGCUUAUCAACUUUGCAGCCCAGACCGUUGACUCUGUGACUCCAGCAGCUGAGGACAGCCGGUCUCCUUCCUGACUAGAGUAAGUUAUUGCUGUGCCUGCAGAUCCAGUAGCUCUGGACUCCCUGAUUUCCCUCGAACUAGUCGACAUUCUAGUGAGACUGAGGCUGAGGUUGAAAAGUCAAAAAUAAUCUCCUUCUCUAACCACUUCUCCUUGACCUCGAUGGUAAACCUUAUGAGGUCCAGGAAAGAUAUCACGGAGAAUUCAUAAGGACUUAUGAAAACACAAUAAUCAAACUGCACUUACACUAGGAUUUCUUUUUUCAAACUAAGUUUAUUAAAACACAUGGACGAUAAAUCCUCCUUUCCUAACCACAAAAACAAAGCAAACAGGAUUGUGUAGAAAAUGUUGAAAUAAGAUAAUAUCAAAGGAAUAUACAAGAAGAGAAAGUUGAGCCAUUGAAAUAAUAAUUUAAUAAAAAAUAACGAACUGAGCAAAAGAUCAGAGUAAAUUACUGUAUAUUCACACAAUAUAUAUAGUUUUCUGCCAUAGACACCUUUGACAAUUCUAUACAUUUGUUAAGUAGAGAAAAUUCAUUGUUAGUGCUUUACCCAAUGGGAAGGAAGGAGAGCUUCAGAUGCUCAGACAAGGAUUUCCAUCAGUUCUGGAUUGUGUCACAAACAAACAGCUGCUCUGUUAUUUCUACAUUUAGGUGAAACUAUAACGGUGCGUCGCUUUAAAUGCUGCUACAGCAAGGAACUGUGGGACGGCAUUUUCUCCUUUCCUCUUGUGAAGGAAGCUCCAGUGUUUCCUAUGCUAAAGGAGAUAAGAUAGGAAGCACUGAAGCUCCUUUCCUCAUCAUUUAGAGAAGUGGAGCAGCUGUGAUCAUGAUGCUGCUCAGAUACUUCAGCUCACUUCCCUCAGUUUGAACCUUCAUAAGAAAGAAAGACUUUUCGACUGCAGACUGAUUCUGCCUCUGUGUUGAAAAACUGACUCUAAAUCCACCAAAAGACCUUGUUACAAGGAGGAAGAAACAAGGAGAGUAUAAAACUGUUCCACAAGUGAUACUGAAAGACCAAAGACACCUGUCACUACAGGCCUGAUGAACUAAUCAGACAGGUUCCCUGCCAUGUUCAGGGUUUUACUAGUUAGUGCCACGGGUGCUCAGCUCCGAGGCAUCUUUUAAUAUUCCUCAUACUUAUUAUUAUUCUUCCGCCAAAUUUUACUCGUAACGCAGCUUUGAGAAAACCUGGUAAUAUAUACAUCAAAACGUGCGUCUUGAUCCCGAAAGAGGUGCUAUGACUUUUGGUGUUAAAAUUCCAAUUUUUCCCAAAGUUAUUCCCAAAAAACUGGGAAUAAAUAAUGCAUUUACUUUUCAUUUCCUGUUGGUUAAACUUAGUGAAACUGCUCUGUAGUGUUUUCACUUCUUGUUAUUGUCACACUAUGUGUGAUGUUUGUGUAUUGUCAUAGCAACCAACAGCAUGGGGCUUUGUUGUUUCCAUGGUCACUACUGAUUUGAUUUAAUUGUAGUGCCCACACUGUCCUGGUGUUACUGGUGAUUUUUAGUCACUAUUUGAUGUUGUCAGUAACAUCACCUGAAGCUCAGGUUUCCUGUAGCUCAUAUAUACAGAUGUUCUGCAUCUUUGGUAGAGCUGCUUUCUGGGACUGUCAGAAUCCUUCAGGACGUAUUCUGAUGGAUCAUCAGUGUGGACUUCUUUGGAUUUAAAUUGAGAUAUUCAGUUGGCUGCUGUGGCUCAGGACGUACAGCGAUCUGUCCACUAAUCGGAAGGUAUCAAGAUGGAGAUAGUGUGAAGAAGCAGGACACAGUACAACCCAGCUGACCUCUGACACACUGACACCCAGGAAAAAUCACAAAGCCAAGAACUGAGAGUGUCAAUGCCUAUGUCCAUAUUAGACAUAAGAAUUGUAACUAGGUUUGAGUUUAAAGCUCCACAUAGUCUAAAGGUCUCUCUCCAUGUGUUGUUUGAUUAUAAAGCAGGUCUAGGUUCUGUAUUAAUACUGUGAAAGUAUCAAAGCGCUCAGUCCAGAAACUGAGCCUUAAAACCAGCUGUCAGAACUUUGUGAUGUCACAAGAAAGCAGACACCACACUCAGCCCAGCCUCAAGUCCCGCCCACCUGGACCCACCAUCCAACCUUGCAGGAUUUGGUUCUUGUUUAGAGAGGGGUUCAGAGCCUCCUCUCUUCUGAUUGGCUCACUGACCUGUUGUUAAUAGAGCUCCAGAGAGAAGCCUGACAGAGGAGAUGUGAAACUACACUGAGAUGGUUUUUGGUUCUUAAACCACAAAUAAGUCUUCUUAUGGAUCAACACUUCAAAUAAAACACAGAAGAAGAGGGAGAGAGAAUAUGGAACUUUAAAAGGCAAAGCCAAACGGUCACAUGUCAGGACAUACCAGUCUGGAAUUCCUCUUUGAUUCUUUCAUCUGUCUGCUGAGGCUGUCCAAGUCCAUUUGAUGAACCUGCAGUGCCUCAUAGACCUGAUCCAGUCGCUCUGGUUGGGGAACUUUAGGUGGCGGGUUGGACUUGGUGGACAUAGUAAACAUCCUGCUGGCUCUGCUGGGCUUCCUGCUGAGACGUGGAGUGCUGAACACUGAGAGGUUCCUGCAACAGCAGUGAUGGAUCUGGAGGUGAUGCGUCUGACUGGGCGAACGGACAGCGACAUAGUGGAGAGUGUUCGGGACGGACUCCCUGUGCAGAGCAGAGGAACAGAACCAUCAACAGCUGCCGACACCACAGCAUGACGGACUGAUCGGCCAUAUUUGUCUGUCAUCCAUCUCAGGCACAUCUGAUUAAACAGCCACUACAUUCUCCCCUGGUCUUAACAGUCACUCUGUACCUUUUUUUGAGGACUCUUUGUCAUUUGACAUUUUGACAGACAGGAAGUUAGAGUAGUAUAUAGCAUUAAUACAUGAAUGGGGAUGGAAUAAUAGGAAACUGACUGAAAUGGAAACAAACAGAAAAACAACUGACCCAAAAAGGACAUUUUGGUGCAGAGACACCAUCAGGAAUAAAUCAGUGACAGUGAAGACAGAAAAAGUGCUGUAUGUAAUGUAGUUAGUAAGUUAAAACUAAAGAAUGCUGAAUUAUUGCACCAGCUAACAUAUAUUUAUCAUGAUGAUAUUUUGUACAAUCAUUACAAACCCUGUGUCAGAGGAGGUGUGUCCGUCUCUGUGCUGCGGCUAUCUAAGGUCGAACUUAUCUUGACUGAAGAAUAAAUCUGAUCUGACCUUGACUCUUCAAAUGCAAAACAAAAACUGGAUCAUUAUAAAUGAAACCAGAAAUGACCGGUAGAAAGCAGCAGCUGUGUUCGGACAGUCAGCAUCUGACCUGACCAACUCAUUUUCUGUUACAAACAUUGUGUGUCAUGUGAGUAACCUGACAUCAUGUUGCAAUAAACACCACAGCACAUUUCACUGCCA